AACGAACGCUGGCGGCAUGCCUAACACAUGCAAGUCGAACGAGACCUUCGGGUCUAGUGGCGCACGGGUGCGUAACGCGUGGGAACCUGCCCUUAGGUUCGGAAUAACUCCCCGAAAGGGGUUCUAAUACCGGAUAAUGUCUUCGGACCAAAGAUUUAUCGCCUUUGGAUGGGCCCGCGUUGGAUUAGCUAGUUGGUAGGGUAAAAGCCUACCAAGUCGACGAUCCAGAGCUGGUCUGAGAGGAUGAUCAGCCACACUGGGACUGAGACACGGCCCAGACUCCUACGGGAGGCAGCAGUGGGGAAUAUUGGACUAGGGGCGAGAGCCUGAUCCAGCAAUGCCGCGUGAGUGAUGAAGGCCUUAGGGUUGUAAAUCUCUUUUACCCGGGAUGAUAAUGACAGUACCGGGAGAAUAAGCUCCGGCUAACUCCGUG
rnacentral:rRNA from 1 species